AUAAAACCAGCCCUGCCAGGACCCUGCAGCUCUGGCAAGGAGCCCAGCCCCAGGAUCCCGUUCUGUGAUCCGGAAAGAACACAGACCACCCGCCAUGGAGUUUCGGCUGAACUGGGUGGUCUUGUUUGCUCUCUUACAAGGUGUCCAGGGUGAGGUGAAGCUGGUGGAGUCUGGAGGAGGCCUGGUGCAGCCUGGGGGGUCUCUGAAACUCUCCUGUGUCGGCUCUGGAUACACCUUCAGUAGUUAUGGCAUGAGCUGGGUCCGCCAGGCUCCAGGGAAGGGGCUGGAGUGGCUGGCAUGUAUUUAUAGUAGUGGUAGUAGCACCUACUACGCAGACUCUGUGAAGGGCCGAUUCACCAUCUCCAGAGACAAUUCCCAGAACACGGCCUAUCUGCAAAUGAACAGCCUGAAAACCGAAGACACGGCCCGCUAUUACUGUGCUAGAGACACAGUGAGGGGAAAGCAUGUCAGCCCAGACACAAACCUCCCUGCAGGGGCACAGGGUCUGGGCUGCAGGGGGCGCUCAGGACCCACAAUCACUAUGUGUGUUUUUCAUGCCCAGGAGCAGUCCGAGGUUGCACUAGGCAUCAAGAGAAACACCCCUGCUCUCUCAUUCCAGGAAGCAAUCACUGCAACCUCACUAGCCAUUGCCAACUCUCUCCAGGAAUUCCUGUGA